GCAAGAUCAGUGAACUACGUGCAAGCUGCAACACAGCGACGGUAACCAUGCAAUGAGUUCAUUAACUUGUAAAACAGGAGUCAAUUUGUUGCCAAGCAAGUGCGCACGUUGCCAAUCCAAGCUUCUUUCGAAGCAACCUCCCAGAUUGCUGUCAACAUGCACCAUUCAGGUAUCAUUCCAUUCUUUUCAAAUAGCAGUUCCCAUCUGUAAACUCUACAACAAAGUUUGCUGAGUUGCUGGAAAUACCUGGAGAUUAAUGCAUGGAUAAAUCUCUAAUUAAACGACGUAUCCAACUGCGACAGAUUUCCUCCAAGCUCCAGGAAUGGAGAUGGAAGAAUCCAGUAUCCUUCAUUGUCAGUUUGGAUGAGGGUAUUGGGUAACAGCUAAGGUUGGCUC
rnacentral:lncRNA from 1 species